CGGGCACGCUGCACAGGAGAAGAGGAGGAGCAAGCUUGAGGGGCUUCCUCACACGGCACAACAUUUUACCGGUAUUGAAUAUGUGAAAGUUCUCUCUCCAGUCUGGUAUGUGAUCAGAGAUUUCUAUACUUCCGGAUGUGGGGUUUGGACGUGGCAUGGUUGAUGGUGAGAGAGAAGAGUUUUUGGUUCCCCAUUCCAAGCCUGUCUGCCAUGUUGCAGCCCUACCCCUCCUCUCUCGACGGAGGUUUGUGACAGUGUUAUUAGUCAACUUGUAGUGAUCAGGUUGAGAAAGGCCAUAUAACUCCCCCAAAGUGCAAAAGGAACAACAACAAACCAUUC